rnacentral:snRNA from 11 species
AGCUUUGCGCAGUGGCAGUAUCGUAGCCAAUGAGGUUUAUCCAAGGUGCAAUUAUUGCUAAUUGAAAACUUUUCCCUAAUCCAAAUUAGACACUGCCAUUCCUGCCUUAAACUCCUUCAUGGUGGGACCAGCAGUUGGCGUAAUGGCUAUGUGGCU